rnacentral:tRNA from 1 species
UCCCUGGUGGUCCAGUGGUUAGGAUUCUGUGCUUCUACAGCAGGGGGCUUGGGUUCAAUCCCUGGUCAGGGAA